CCUACGGGGGACAGCAGUGAGGAAUAUUGGUCAAUGGACGAGAGUCUGAACCAGCCAAGUAGCGUGAAGGAUGACUGCCCUAUGGGUUGUAAACUUCUUUUAUAUGGGAAUAAAAUGUUCCACGUGUGGGAUUUUGUAUGUACCCUAUGAAUAAGGAUCGGCUAACGCCGUGCCAGCAGCCGCGGUAAUACGGAGGAUCCGAGCGUUAUCCGGAUUUAUUGGGUUUAAAGGGAGCGUAGGUGGAUUGUUAAGUCAGUUGUGAAAGUUUGCGGCUCAACCGUAAAAUUGCAGUUGAAACUGGCAGUCUUGAGUACAGUAGAGGUCGGCGGAAUUCGUGGUGUAGCGGUGAAAUGCUUAGAUAUCACGAAGAACUCCGAUUGCGAAGGCAGUUCACUGGACUGCAACUGACACUGAGGCUCGAAAGCGUGGGUAUCAAACAGGAUUAGAUACCCGUGUAGUC
rnacentral:rRNA from 1 species